CAAUAAGCGGAGGAAAAGAAACCAACAGGGAUUGCCUCAGUAACGGCGAGUGAAGCGGCAACAGCUCAAAUUUGAAAUCUGGCCCCCCCUGGGGGCCCGAGUUGUAAUUUGGAGAGGAUGCUUUGGGCGCGGCGCCUUCCGAGUUCCUUGGAACAGGACGCCAGAGAGGGUGAGAGCCCCGUACGGUUGGACGCCUAGCCCGUGUAAAGCUCCUUCGACGAGUCGAGUAGUUUGGGAAUGCUGCUCAAAAUGGGAGGUAAAUUUCUUCUAAAGCUAAAUACUGGCCAGAGACCGAUAGCGCACAAGUAGAGUGAUCGAAAGAUGAAAAGCACUUUGAAAAGAGGGUUAAACAGCACGUGAAAUUGUUGAAAGGGAAGCGCCUGUGGCCAGACUUGCUGCCCGCGGUUCACCUGGCGCCCCCGCGCCAGGGCACGCCGCGGGUGCGCAGGCCAGCAUCGGCUUCCCCAGGGGGAUAAAGGCCGCGGGAACGUAGCUCCUCCGGGAGUGUUAUAGCCCGCGGCGCCAUGCCUCUGGGGGGGCCGAGG
rnacentral:rRNA from 1 species